AUCUUCCAAACGCAAAGAGAAACAGGAGGCCAGCAUCAUGUUCAUCGACGAAGUGGUUCUCGCCGGCAUUGUCACCGUUGGCCUGAUGGUCCUGUUCUUUGGUGGAGUCGGAUAUUUCAUCUGGAAGGACUCGCACAAGCGCGGUUGACCUUCCGGAUACACAGAGCACGCAAGGCACUUGGGGCGACUUCGGUCGCCCGUUUUUUUU
rnacentral:sRNA from 1 species